rnacentral:rRNA from 2 species
UAGACCGCCUGGGGAGUACGGCCGCAAGGUUAAAACUCAAAUGAAUUGACGGGGGCCCGCACAAGCGGUGGAGCAUGUGGUUUAAUUCGAUGCAACGCGAAGAACCUUACCUGGUCUUGACAUCCACAGAACUUUCCAGAGAUGGACUGGUGCCUUCGGGAACUGUGAGACAGGUGCUGCAUGGCUGUCGUCAGCUCGUGUUGUGAAAUGUUGGGUUAAGUCCCGCAACGAGCGCAACCCUUAUCCUUUGUUGCCAGCGAUUAGGUCGGGAACUCAAAGGAGACUGCCAGUGAUAAACUGGAGGAAGGUGGGGAUGACGUCAAGUCAUCAUGGCCCUUACGACCAGGGCUACACACGUGCUACAAUGGCGCAUACAAAGAGAAGCGACCUCGCGAGAGCAAGCGGACCUCAUAAAGUGCGUCGUAGUCCGGAUUGGAGUCUGCAACUCGACUCCAUGAAGUCGGAAUCGCUAGUAAUCGUGGAUCAGAAUGCCACGGUGAAUACGUUCCCGGGCCUUGUACACACCGCCCGUCACACCAUGGGAGUGGGUUGCAAAAGAAGUAGGUAGCUUAACCUUCGGGAGGGCGCUUACCACUUUGUGAUUCAUGACUGGGGUGAAGUCGUAACAAGGUAACCGUAGGGGAACCUGCGGUUGGAUCACCUCCUUA